rnacentral:lncRNA from 1 species
GUCCGAUAAAUCAUAAUGUAGAUCUUUUCGUAAUUCCUGCCUAAUUUUUAUUUUCAAUAUUUUAAAGAGGAUGGAGAUGUAAGAAAACAUUAAUUAUGUAAAUCAUACAGUAGGCCUUUUUAUAGAUCCGGUCUCUAACCUUGUUGUUUUUUUACAGUUUUAAGUCAGCCAUACAAAUGCGGUUAAACAUUAAAACAUUAUUCAAUGUUAAAUCCUUACACAAGUUGAUUUCAAGGUCAUGUUUUCAUGUUUAUAAUAAU